UCAUGAGUGUUUCGUGAGUUUCUUUGG
rnacentral:sRNA from 1 species